GGCGGUGUCAACGAGUCAGACCUUCUGGCCUGAAAAGGUUGGGUAAACUGGUCAAUCACCGUCAUGACAGGGAUCGGGGCUUGGAAUUGUUCCCCGUGAACGAGGAAUUCCUAGUAAGUGCAAGUCAUAAGCUUGCGCUGAUUACGUCCCUGCCCUUUGUACACACCGCCCGUCGCUACUACCGAUUGAAUGGUUUAGUAAGGUCCUUGGAUUGGCGCCACUUAGGUUGUCCUCCGAAAGGAGCCUGCCUAGCCGGUGCUGAGAAGACGACCAAAC
rnacentral:rRNA from 1 species